rnacentral:misc_RNA from 1 species
GAAAGAAGUUACAAAUUUGUGUCACUGAAGGCUGAUUAUGCUCCAUCAUUAUAAUUCUUGGCUGUUGUUGAGUGUUGACAUCUAUCUUCUUUGAGGGUGAAACAUCUUUUCCUUAAUAUCUUGUUGUUUAGCAUUUUAUUUAGAAAGAUAAAAGGUGGAAAUUUUCGGAACCUCAAACUAGCAAAGCAUAACUUUGGACUUGCAUCUAGUAGCAUCAAAUGCUAGAUUUUAUAUACUAUUUUCAUUGUUU